AUUGAACGCUGGCGGCAGGCCUAACACAUGCAAGUCGAGCGGAUGACGGGAGCUUGCUCCUGGAUUCAGCGGCGGACGGGUGAGUAAUGCCUAGGAAUCUGCCUGGUAGUGGGGGACAACGUUUCGAAAGGAACGCUAAUACCGCAUACGUCCUACGGGAGAAAGCAGGGGACCUUCGGGCCUUGCGCUAUCAGAGGAGCCUAGGUCGGAUUAGCUAGUUGGUGAGGUAAUGGCUCACCAAGGCGACGAUCCGUAACUGGUCUGAGAGGAUGAUCAGUCACACUGGAACUGAGACACGGUCCAGACUCCUACGGGAGGCAGCAGUGGGGAAUAUUGGACAAUGGGCGAAAGCCUGAUCCAGCCAUGCCGCGUGUGUGAAGAAGGUCUUCGGAUUGUAAAGCACUUUAAGUUGGGAGGAAGGGUUGUAGAUUAAUACUCUGCAAUUUUGACGUUACCGACAGAAUAAGCACCGGCUAACUCUGUGCCAGCAGCCGCGGUAACAC
rnacentral:rRNA from 1 species